rnacentral:tRNA from 1 species
GCUCUCUGGUCCUGUGGUUAAGACGCCACGCUCCUAAUGUGGGGGACACAGGUUCAAUCCCUGGUCGGGAGCU